ACACUGGGUGGUUUUACUUUUACAUCACCUUCCUACACCUAGUGCUCGCCCGGAACCUUGUUGCCAGGGGUGACCGGGCGCUUUACGGCAGCGCGUUUGAACGGCGGCGGGGGAAAAAGUUGCGCCCGCAGCUCCAAUGGAGAGACAAACAGCUGGACGAGAGUGACGCUGUUCUUGCUGAACCUGCCGUUCUUGCGCUUUCCUGAGUCAUACUUCCCGCUUUCGCGAAGAGGAGAAGAGGUAUAAAAUUCUAUGCCUCUAAAAAAAAAUAAUAAAGGGAAAGGAGAAAAUUUUCACGAAUAAUUAAUGGAAGACCUCCUUUGGGCUUAAUAAACUUAUUAAAUGUAUUAAAAAUUAAAGCAUUACCGCCAAACGCUUGUGCUAUUUAUUAACUCUUGCUUUUCGCUUCAGGCAAUAAAAUAAUUUAGUGAGUUUGUUUCUAGGCUUCCUUAUUUCUCUCUUUUUUUUUUUUCCCCUCCUUAUCCUAGAAUGAUUCUGUAGAAACAGAAAUUCUGUGCUUCUUGGGAAUUCUUUUAUCUAAACAGAUGAAAUUUCAGUGCAAGUGUUUCUGUUAAUGGGAUACUUUCAAUAAGAAAUUGAUACACUGCAGAACUUGAGGUCUUUAGCAAUUCUACAUCAUUUCCACAUGCUGUAUGUUCACAUUCUGUAACAUAUCACCUCAUUUCAUGGAAGUGGCAUAGCGUGUCUCUAGAAAAGGAACUAUUGAACACUGCCAGUUUGUGGGCAUACCUUGCAUCCCCCUAAAAGCCAGUACAAUCAGAAGUGCUUAGAAAAGAAGUAUUGCUCUAAAAUGGAGGCAGAAUUAGGUAAAGAUCCAAAGGGAUAUUUUCCAAAUUAAUUGUACCAGCAAAAGUGUACAAGAGUACACGUGAGUGUACAAGUGUACAAGUUUUCACAUGAAAACAUUUUUGCAGGUAAAAAUCAUUUGUCGGGUAUCUCAAAAAAAAAUUGGUAAAUUUAGGUGUAUUGUUUUUGCAUAUUUAUCUUUACUCAGUGUUGGUUGGCUGCUGACCUCAACAUUUUAAUAAGGAUCUACCUGAGAGUCAUUAAAAAAGGUUAACAAAUCAAACAAUACCACAUGUUCGAUGGACUAAUAGAAGUCAUUUAAAAGCAUUAGGAACCCCAAAUACAAGGAUAGCUAAAAACUGUGACAUGAAACCAACUGCAAGAUAAAAGUGAAACUUGUCAGCAAGAUUUGGAGUGAACGGAUUGCAAGGUUUAGGGCAGAAUUUUGUUGGUACUUCAACCUCCUUGCUUGUCAAGUUUUUUUGCAGAAGAUACCUGUCACUGUGAAACUGUUUGCAAAUGAGGGCUUAAGGUGCUUUAGAAUUCUUGGAUGCUUUUUAUCAUUCAGUGGAUGAAUUUAAGCAAAAUAUCACGUACAGGUUUUCAUACCAAGUUUUUGGUUCCUUAAAAUUAGUCAUGGUUUUAGAAGGUAGUUGCAAAUAAAAAAUAAUCUACAAAUAUAUUUGUAGAUUUUUAAGAAUAUUCCCCUGCAUGCCCACACAAAGUUCCAGGCCCUCUUUAAGCAACUUUGAAGAUCUUAUUUGCUUUAAGUUUUGUCACUUUCCACUUCUGGAUAAGGAUUCUUAUGUCUUCAUUUCUGAGCAAUUUCUGAGCAGAAUGAAGAAAGAAAUCAUCUCCUGGUGUUUGUUUUGCUCUUUUUCCAAUAGCCAUAGUGUCUGUUUGAGCACUAGUCUCUUGAGAUUUCCAAGCAGCUGGGAGAAACUGGUGACAACUCCUGCUGGCCAUUAGUUUCUGAAGAGCAGAACUGAAACUGGCAGGAGCCUUGGUAGCUCUACACUGCUAUAGUUUUGAUAAAUGAGAAGAGAAAACCAAAGCAAUCUUUGUAUAUGUUAUCUUUCAUACCAAGGAGGUCUAGAAACCAAAAAACAGAGGAUAGUGUUUUGCAUCAAGUUAUUGAUGACCCUAAUCACUAUUCAUUGUGAAAGGUGUCUCAUUCACAACUUGUAAAUAGAUGUGUGGAUGGGUUGCUUUUUUGGUUUUUAAACUUUGAUAUGUUUAAUCCAAGCAACUGGGCGCUUCACAUCUUAGUAUAUGAAGUUCUCAUUGUUUAAUGUGCUGAAUUAAGGAUGCAGCCACUGACAAACAAUUUUGACCUAAUGCUUUCUUCUAAUCCCGGAUGCAAACACACUAGUUAAAAUUUUUGCUAUUUCUGUUAUGUUCUGCAGUAUAUGAACACAUUGUAUAUGUAGUUUAAACUGGUUUGUGCUGCAAGAGUGGAAAAUCCUAUUUUUCUUUAUGGUGCACAUGUUUCAAUCUGACUUUUCAGUCAAGGAUGCAGACAUUAAUUAAUGUAUUCUUUGGAAAAUCUUAGCAAAGCAGUAUGUUUCUUCAUCCUCCUAAAUGUGGUAAUCUUGAGAAGAUGUCUCUUUAAAAGAGGAGUUCUGAUACAGUGGUUAUCCAUGACAAUUAGAUGAUUUCUAGUAAUUUGUAUGGGAAUUUAGGCAACCUAAAUAGCUAUAUUGUAGUUGAAACCUGAGAUUGCAUAGCUGCUGUACUUCACCCUUUUUGAAAUUUAUUUCCAUUGUCUGAAGAUAGGAAUUAAAAUACUUCCAUAGUCACACUGUUGUAAGGAUGUUCAAAAACUAACUAAUGACUCUUAUAGACAGCUUUUCCUGUUUUAAAAAUGCUCAUGUAUGUUGUGUUAUGAUUUAUGAUCUCUUAAGUAUGUAUCAUUAAAUAAAAGCAAUCAGUCCUCUUUGUAUGCCUACUCCUCGUUCAUGUUCAUGAAAUGCACUUUCACAUCCUAUCUUGAGUAUUGUAGAUUUAAUGGUGUUCAUUUAGUUUAAUGAAUUUAGAAUUACAGUGGCAAAUGACUCAGUAUAUUGUUUCUUGUUUCAUUUCUAGUUUGUGGAGAUUCUUUUUUCUUUUUUUUUUUUUUUCUGAUUUCCAUUAGCGAAAAUCUGUUUUCAAUUCUAUGUAUUUCUUGGAAUGUCAGUUCCUAAAAUUUAUUUUUCAAUUGAUUAUUUUUUUCUUUUAGGUUUUUUUAAAAUACAUUUUCACUCCUCUAUAGAAACUGUAGUUGGAAGAUUUACCGGGAGAACAAUGAUACAGAAAUACGCAGCUUGACUGCAGCUAGCUGAGGAACUAAUCUUGAAUAAAAUGUUGAUUUUAGAGAUAUCAACAUACAGGUUUAGUGCCCUUUCAGAUAGUUUUCCAGUUUCUGUUUAAGCUUCCAAAUGAAUCUAAUCCAUAUUGAAGGUGUACCCUGGCAUGCUGUACAGUCUCAAAAAAUAGUAAAUCUGCUUGAAAUUUGCACAUUCACUUAGAGCACAGUUUGUAAAUAUUUAUCAAGAGAAAUUAUCUUUUUUCACUUUCCUCAUCUUAUAAUCUUGGUUUCUGUUUCUGUACUUUACCAUGAAUUUAUUUGUUAAUUUAAAGCUUGAGGCUAUGAUGUCUAAUAAAUUGUCAUGUCUCACACAAUUUGAGAAGACUGUACCUGCUUGAAAGAUGUAAGUGUAAGGAUGUAAACUGCCAUAAGGCAUCAAUAUGUACAUAGCUAUAGAUGGCUACAAUGACUUGCAUAUAUGCAAUUGACUUUUCUAACAUCUUCCUUGUUAAGAAAAAGUGUUUGUGAAGGUCACAAAGGCCUUCAAAUCCAUUUUGUUUCUCUUGCUCUCUUUUUGCCCUACUUGUUGCAUACUGCUUUUCUCUUGAAAGCAAUUAACCUGUGCUGAUACCUGUGUCAGGUUGGUGUGCUGUAUAAAAUAAACGUACUAAAACAUAACAAGGACCUACAGUUCCAUUUUUAUGCUAAUUUUAACUUUCAGUGUGAUCUCUGUUUCAGAGCCUUCACACAUGCAAAAAAUUAUUUGAGAAAAGGAAAAAACUUGAAAAGGUCAUUUCACAUUCUUCAUCCAAAAGACGAAUCUUGCGUAUUCAAAAUGGAAUUGGAAUGCAGAUUUGGGUAUAAGUGGGGGAUAGCGAGCAGUUGUGAUUUUUUUGUUUGUUUGUUUUUAAAAUACCCAAAACUUUAGCUGAGAAUGUCUACUGUAAUAUUUUAUUUUCUGCCACUAGAUGCAGUAGCAAAAUGCUGUAUCAAAAUACUACUUUUUGUUUUAAAUUUCAUCUGAAUUUGUGACUGAUCAAAUUACCCUUGUAGUGCAGUUAGAUUACCAGCUUUAUUAGUAGCACGUUUUCCAUUUAUCUGUGUUUAUGAUGACUCUGCAUAAGUGUUCUUAUCCUUUAUAUUAUCUAAUUAAACACUAAUGGAUUGUGAAUACUUUCCCAUAGGGUUCAUGUUUGUUUCCUUCUGUAAUUUCCACUCUAUUUCUGAUUUGGUUCUGCUCACCAGCCCCCUUGCUGUUUGCUGUCUCACAGUUUUGUGCAAUUGCUCAUUUGGCUCUCAUUUGGGGUUAUUCCCUUUGUUAUGAUAUCUGUACAGCUGGCUCAUUCAGCUUUUUAAAUCCCAACUUAAAAUUGAUUUCUUAAUUAUGUAAUUGUAUAUUCUUCUCAUUUAUAUUUGGGGGGGUUUAGUUGCUGAAACACAUUCUAAUGUUAGGCAUUAUUCAUUUGUUAUCUCUCAUUUGUCUUUUUUUUUCUCACUGUAAAGUGCAUAACGCUUCUCUAGGGAAUGUUUGUUAAUACAUGAAAGGAAAGCUGUUGUGUUGGAGCUUGCAGUGUGUCUUCUGAAUAUACAGAAUUAACAUAAAGAAAACAAGAAAAAAGUAUGAGAGUCUAUCAAAACAAACAACUAAAUAGAAUUAAGAGUCUCAUUUUGCUUAAGGGACCUCAACAGAACGUCAGUCAGUGCCAUAAGGAGAAACACGGAUAUUGUAAUGGUUAUUUCUGGGAUGUGAAGAGAAGCUUUGGUGCACUCAGCAUAGUUGGUCUGAUUUUCAGGUUUGGCGAGGUCUGUCUGGUAGUUAGAAACAUAUGGUGUUAAAAUGCACAAUAGUAUGUUUGAAACUCAGAUGCAUAGACCAAACUUGUUGAAACUAAAGAGCAGUGUAAAAUUCUAGUAUAUCAGAGUUUAGUUUACUGGAGCAGGGAACAGCAGUUCAGUGCAAGAAUGAUCAUGUGUUGAUACAGAAUUGGAAAGGGAUUAUGAUUUUCAUGUGGGACUAUGCAUAUCAAGAAUUUUUGGUUACAAUAUCAAAAAGGAAAGCCUAGUUUGGAUCCAUCCAAACAAUAAAAUUUUCUGUUUUCCCUUGUGGAAGCAAAAGCCUAAAAAGAUUUUGUGUGAGAUCAAAUAAAAAUGUCUUUUUUUACCCGAGUAUUAAAAGUCUGGAUUAGAGCAAUUGUUACAAUCAGGGCAGGUGGCCCAGGGGUUUCUAUGAACUAAAUUAUUUGAAAAUUUCCUUUAUUAGGUUCCUUGUUCUUACUGGGGAGCUUUGAGCAGAGGUGUCUGUGGUGGGCAGUAGCUUGAAUCCCUGGACUUUAGCUUUUGUGAAGAACCUUCAUUUUCUCUUAUUGAUGCUGACUAGGUACUGUAAGAGGGACGAGAGCUCCUGUGUCAUCUUAAGGACUUUAAAAUACUCUCUACACCAUUUAAAUAAAUGUUCUGGCCAUUAGGUUAUAGUCUUUCUUUAGUUCCACGAUUAUUUUAAGUAUUUUAUAGAAACCAAAAACAUUCAUUAGCACAGAUGAAGACCACCUGAAUUGUCUUUAGGAAGGUGACUUUAGAUCAUUGCUGACGGAUGAUGGUUCAGACUUUUAUUAGGAGGGGAUAUAAUCAAACCUUGUUUUUUAUUAUCCUGGGGCAUCUUGGUGACUACUGGGAUUUCAUAUUAAAGAUGGAUUACACCCAGCAUUUCAUGCAUACAGGGCACGUUCUGAAUAGUCCAAAUUGGUUGCUGAAGAGUAGUCAGGUAGAGAAAAGCCAAGCCUCAAGACCUGCAGGUGGUCAGGUAGAAUGAAGAGUUAGGCAGAUUAGGGAGGACCAGAAGCAGAUCUUCACAUGCCCAGAGAAUUUAACUGAAAAAUCUUGAGUGACUGGAAUUAGGUAGAAGGUGAAAACAGUAAAUGAGAGCUUUGUUUGAAUUUAGAUGUUUGCAGGAUCUUGAUUGACCACUGUUUUGCGAAUGCAAAAAGCUGUCUUGAGUAAUACAAUUAAAAUUUGAUGUAUUUCAGGUAAUUUUAUUUAAAGGAUUCAUGACCUAUUUCAGUAGCUGUUGGUAGAUAUUCAGUGAAGCAGUUGAGUUCUUGCAGGCAAUGACUCAUUCCUGUUUAGUGACUGUGGUAGGUGAUCAUAUGUGGGACUUACCUGCCUCAUGUGGUUUUGCUUCUGGGCUAGUCCCUCCAAACUGCUUUUGCAGUUAGUGAGGAUCUGGUCAGUGGAACCUGGGACACCUUACAGGCACAUAAGUAAAAUGAGAUGAAUUCCAACCCAUCUCUUACUCGUGACAGCAGUCCAAUCAGUGAGGUACGUUUUCCUGUCAUGAGGUAGUUGGGGUUUAUGGAGAUGACUUCAUCCCUCUGCUCUGACUUUUACUCCCAGUUUUGUAGGGUGAAAAGGCCUAGAAUUUGUUGCCUCACCUGCAACUGAUGUCUUUUUUGCCAAAUAUAUUUAGACAUUGUUUAAUGACAAGGCCAUACCAGCUCUGUGGAUUUUCACAUAAUUUAUCAUAUAUCAUACAACACCAAAGACAACAAAAGAAUUUGUUAUGGCAUUAAAAAAAAUGCUUUUUUUACCCCCUAAAUAUUUGAAAUCCAGACAAAUGUUUAUAAAACAUCUGGGCAGUCUUAACAUAGAGAGGAUAACUAUUCUGCAGAGAUGUAUAAUUCUAAAGCUCAAAGUUUGUUCCUGCAGCCAGAUGUACUUGUAUUUGCAUUUAUCAUUGCAGCAUCUUGCAGAGAAGGGCAGAAGAAAUUUGCUUAAUUGUUAUUAAUAAUAGUACUUUGGUGCCAUGUCAUUUAUUCUAAAUAAUGUCAACAACAUAAUAGGAUUCAUUGCUAAUUUUUGUUGUGAGAUUAAUUUGUAAUAUGGAAAAGCUCCUCACUUCAAUAGCAUUCUUCACCAUGAAUCCAGGACUACACCUAACUUGCAUGCUUCACCUUAGAGUGCUUUAUCUUUAGUAGCUGGUUUCUUCAUAAAGACCACUCUGUUCCUAAACAGUGUUUAUAGGUUCUGUAAUGUUUUUAUCUUAACAUUGUUGCUUGCUUAAAUGUUUAUUCCAGAAGGUCUGAAAAAUUUUUGCAACUACUGUUAAUUUCCCCUUUGAAAGGUACCUUAUGCACAACUAUUUUUCAGGCUCUUUUUCAAGACAUUUUAACUACAGCCUAGGCUUAAACUGAGUCAAAUCACAGUCACAUUUUCUACUGAACAGCAAUGCACUACAUUAGUUUUACAGCCUCUGUAACUGCAUUUUAAGGAUAUAUGCAUUGCUUGGGUCUCCAUUCUCCUUAAUGCAUCUCCUGAUGCAUACUGGUAUGAAUCCUAAGCAAACUUUUUGGUGCUGUUUUCCCAUCCUGUUUUUCCUGUGGAAUAGUGAUGGAUAACCCUUUCUGUUGACUUGGGCAAGAUUGAAGAAAAAAAAAGCAAACAGACAGACCUGUCUAUGACUGUGACUACCUAGUGUGAAAUGCCAAACUCAGCUAACAGGCUGUUCUUCAUACAUAAAAGAAAAUACAGACACAGUAUCCAGCCAGCCAGGAAUCACCAAAUAUACCAGAGCGAAAUCCAUGGCUAAACUGAAUGGAAAUAUUUUAUGUAAAUUCAUCUAUUUGUUCUUUUGCUUGCUUGCUACUCAAUGCUGUCUCUCAUGUCCUCCUACACAAGAGCUCAGGGUGCCUUUCUUCAUUAGCUUUUCUUACCUUUCAGAAUACUAAAAAAUAUGCAAAACAAUUUUAGAUAACAUUUAUGGUGUAUACCUGUUACUACAUUGUAUCUGUUUGUAUACACACACACACACAUACAGAAAGCUAUUUUUAAAGAUUAGGAAGGUCACAAAGUCAUUGGCUUGGCCUAGAUUCAUGAUCCCUUGGUUAUACCCACAUCUGGCUGCCCCGUCCCUCUGCAAGAGAUUACUCCCACCACAGCUGAGGCUGCUGUUCAAAUCCCCAUGUAUUAGCAAACUGAAAACAACAGUAGUUCAAAUUAAAAAUGCUACAUUGGACCAGCAGCUGCAGACCCAGUCUUUCUCCCAUUUACUUGAAGUGGCUGAAGAGGCUACAGAUUCCAGUUGUAAGAUCAGUGUUCUUUUCAGCUGCUCCAGCUAUAUCCAGCAUGGAUGGCAACAUUACAAAUGGGAAUUAUGAAUGUUUCUCUUUUCAGUCACAGAGCUUUAGUUUUAUGCCAUAUUAUGUUAGCUACAUUGCCCCAUCUCUUCCUACAGCUCGAGAAGGUGUGUCACUCAGCAAUGUGUUAAUGUAUCUUUCCUCCUUGUUCAAAAUAGUUUCCAAAUACUAAUCACACAGGUUAUCCAAACCCCACUCUGAAGAUAAUCUUCGAAUUUCCAUGGAAGACAGUCCUGGGCAGAUGCUUACAUUUGAUUUUGACUUAUAUGACAUGCAAUAUAUGGAAGGUCAUACAUCAUGUCAGGCACACUUCAUUCAUCAGAGUUGGCUUCCGAAAUGCUUUGUGAAACUAGCCAAAAUAGGAAAUUCCAUAACCAAGAAGGGUGUUUGAAAAUUCAUUUGGACUUUCUUGUUCCAACAGCUUCUACUAUAAUGAUAACUACCAGCUAUGGGUACACAUUUCUGCAUCUCUAGGGGAGAGUAACAUCAGGGAGUAGGUAGCAGAGAAGUUCCAAAUACUUUUUAUUCCACUUAUCUAAUGGGAAAAGAUUCAGGUUUCUCCAACCUUUUGCUCUUCUCUGUCAGAAUCUCAACAAAUUUAUCAGGAUGCUCUUUCUUCCUCAAUUAAAAGAAUGUCAAAAACAUUUAAUUUCCCUUUUGCGGUCCUACUUGGAUCUAAAUCUGCAUUUGACAUUUCAUGCUACACCCAGUUCCAACAGAUGUAGGCUCUGUGGCCUUGCAAUUAGGUACUAUGUUAAGUGAUAUCUAAUUUUAGGACAUGCCAUAUGGCUUUCCCUGUAUUCUCUAGAUCGUGUAUGAAAGGUGAGCAUGCUGUUUCAUUGCAGAGAUCCAUCAUUUCCUGAAGUCAUGGGAAGGCUCAUGCUUUCUCAGGAAGACACAGUGCUCCUUGGACUUCAAUCCAUCAGCAGGCUUUCUAGAGCCGUUCCUACCUCCUAGUUAAAGAUAUGAUCUCAAAAAGAAAAAGGAUCAAUUAAUAUCAGGACACUAAUCUGGAGCCUGAGACUGUAAGUUUCAGGAUGAGGAUGUAGCAAUCAUUUUUCUAUCUUUCCCUUUAGAAGAUGCUAUUUGAUUUUAGGGACUAGUAAUCUCCAAUUUUUAAGUUACUAUUAAUUUCAGUGAACAGACUUGUCUUCUGUUACGUGACUAGCCAGAAUCCUUUUAUAAGGAAAAUAUAAUUCCAGUAUUAUAAAGAGUAAUUCAGCUUGCCAUAUUUAAUUGAAAUAUAUUGAAGCAAGAUGUAAAUCAGUAUCAGAUGAAAGCUAAAUUCCUCUGUUAGAUGCCGAGUAUAACCUUCCUGUAUAAAGAGAGUCAAAAAGUUUAAGAAAUUACCUGCUUAUUGUUAUGCAGAAAAUAAUAAGGAGCAGUGGUUUAAUAAUGACACAGUUAAAUAUAAUAAUAAAACACAGAAAGAUUAAGAUAUGUUUAUUAUGAUAUAUGCUAAGACAUCUUAAGGAUUAAGAUAUACAUGGAAGAGAGUGUCAGAUUUGUCUCCAUACCUUUCCCAUUAGGUAUUAGAUCACAUUCCACAAGGCUAAAGGUAAUCACCUUGUUAUCAUUUUCCAUUAUAAAAUUUUCCAUGCUGCUCUGUCAAGCUCUAACCAUGUGUUUCCCAAGCAGAGCUUAUCUGACCAGUUGUGAGCUGCUCUGCUUGCUGGUGGUACAUCUGUCACUAGAAGUGUGUUCCCUCCUCACCUGACAGCACUCCUAAUCCAACUGUUCCCAGAGUGGGAAUCUACAGAAGGCACUUGGAGAAGAGACAGAAGAGGCUGUUCCCUGGAAAUCAGGGCUCUUUGAGAUGAACGGAAGAAGGAUUUUGGCUGAUGCCUCACCAUAUUUUGCUGAGUCAAGUUAGCAUUAAGUGAAUACAAAUUAUCCCUUGGGAGUCCUAAUUACAGCUGAGAAUCCUAGGAAGUUACAGAAAGAAACAGAAGAGCUGGAGUGCUUUCAUAGCCUCUUCUUCUGAAUAUACAAGAAAAAUACAAGGAGGGACCCAUUACCCAUGGCAUCUAGGAAUUACAAUUGGAGGCCCUACUCAGCAUCAUUCCCAUUGAUUCCAUGUAACUUGUUGGGGAUAAUUAGCCUGUAGCUGCCUUCAAGGUCAGCAAAAAGUAAAAGGAAAUUAUAGUCCUUUCUUGGAGUGACUGAAAUAAAUCCAUCACCCAGCUGAAAUAAAUCCAUCACCCAAAACUGAGUGGUAGGCAAAUUUGUCCGGAGUCAGCCAUGCAGUUGGAUGGGUGGAAGUGGGUGUGACUGGCAUACAGCUGGCAAAGCUGCUGAUGUAAAGGCAGAGAGAACUAACGAGGAGAAGUUAAAACGACCUUUGGGGAGAAAGUCCAGCAAAAGAACUUUUUUGGCAAAGUGCUGGCUAAAACCGGGCCUGAAAUGGCAAGCAAAGCAACCGCAUUCUAGUAUUUAAUUCCUGCUUCGUUAGCAGAGCCAUAAGGGAGAGUUUUCUGAAAACUCUUCUGAUGUGCAUUUGGCAGCCAACAGCCUCAGGAGCAGCUCAGGGCUCGGAAAAGGAUGGGGGGUGGGUGCCCCUGCCUGCCACUGCUCCCCCGAGCCCCGGGACAUCCCCUGCAUCCCCGAACCGUGAGCCUCGGGAAAGCACCAUUAGCACCCUAUUAGCAGAACAAGGCAGCUGGAUCACAUUGGAAAACAUCCUACAGCAUCAGCCAGUAAUUAAGGAUCCUCAAUUAGGAAGAGCCUUGAGGCAGGAGGAUGACCUGUGUCCAGGAAGAACAAGUGGGGCUGUAAGUCAGUAUCAGUGGCUUGAGAACUCUUGGGUUGGGUUUUGUUUGGGUUUGGGCUUUUUUGGUUUUGGAGGGGUUUUUUUGUGGCUUUUUGUUUGUUUAUGGGUUUGUUUUCUCAUUUUAAUUAGAUAUAUAUCAUUGUAUUUAUUACUUUAUAUUCCUAAGUGGUUUAGAAUGAACUGCUCCAAAAUAGUGAAGAACAGAUAAAGAACAAGAGAAUUGCCAAAUAUUCGACUUAGUAAUCAUUCCCAGAAUUUUGAGUACAAAUUCUUGAUACACAGUGUUACAAAAAAAUAACUAAGCUCUACCUGUUAGUGGGACAUCAGGGAGACAUCCCAGAAAAUUCUCUGAAAAUGAGCAGGGUCUUGAAUCUCUUGAAGUGAAAGUCCAAUGGAGUAUGAACUUCAUUUUUUGGCAUACACUGCCUUUCCUUCAGCCAUUUUUUAUGCUUCAUUUUUGUCUGUCCAGUUUCAGAUGUAACUAAUCUCCCCUGGGUGGAGAUUCCAGCAUUGCUGCAGAAACUGUCCCACUGCGCAUUCCGUAAUAAAAAAUACACCACAACAGGUUAUAUUUAACAAGGAAAAGAGGAAUAGAAAGUGGUACAUCUGCACAAUGAAUAUAAUAUAGCAUUGACUUGGAAUUUCCUGACUUCAGCAGUGCCUCCAAAAUAAUAAUGCAUUAAUAGAAUUGCACUUAGCUUUCUGCUUUUAAAAGGAAAAUAUUUGAAAGCAAAAGUAUUUUCAUCUUCCAAGUUCUUCUGGCUCCGCAUGUGAGAUAGUGGAAAUAACACAGUACUGUGUAACCACAGCAAACAAGUGGGGUGGGAAUUCUGUAGUUGCUCGGCUGGCCUGAAGCAGAGUGGCAGUGAAGCCUGGAUUUUGAAUUAAAUAGGUGAAAUAGUUUUCCCCCCUAAACUCCAUUCAUUUAUGUGGAUGAAAAUAAAAUUACUCUGUUGUAGAUAGAACUGGUGGUGACCUACAAUUAAAGGUGUCUGACAUUUCCAUUAUAAGAGGCAGGUUUUAGUUGGCUAUAAUUUCAGCUGUUGGUUUAAAUUUUAACUGAUCAGGCAGGAGUUUCCUUUGGUGGCUAAAUCCUGCAGUCUGACUUUUUCAAGAGGGAUAAAGUAGAGAAGGAAUGGGAAUUUCAGCAAAAUUGUUUAUCAGUAUCUAUAAAUCAAGUAAGCAAAAAUACAUUAUUUUGACCACAUAGAGAAGCUCUAUAUUUUAAGCUUGCUUAAAAUUUGUCAAAGAACUCACCAUGUUUUUGGGAUGUCUUUUCUGCUUUCUGUGGAAUGUCUCAGCUGAUACAUAGACAAUAGAAGUUUGUUCAAAUUUAGCACAUGGAUGUCCAAGAAAAAAAUAAAAUCCAUCUACUUGAACAUGCUCCAAAGCAGGCACAGAAUUAGAUCACUGAGAAACACUCGAUUGAUCCACCAGUGAAAAUGCUGAAAGGCAGCAGAAAUAUGUACAUAUUUAACCUCCCAGCAAUUUUAACUGUAGUGGGGCUUAGCUGGUGGAAUGUGUGCUUUUCUUCCACAUGUUACCAGUAAAAUUCUCUGACACAGACAAAACUUUAAAGCACAGAUUUUAUUCUCCCUCUUUAAAAUGAAUUUUGUCUUUAGCAUCACUGUACAACUAAAAACAUGACCACCUGACUCAAUGACUUCUGCCUAAGUAUUUCUCUGGAAGGCAUUAUCAGAUGCUCUUUGGAUACUGACAUUUUUAACCAUAAUAAUAAAAACAUUGAUGAUUUGUAAAGAUGACAUAAUUUUGGGAUCUUGGUCAGUGAAGAUUAAUCAACAUAUAGCACUAGUUCCAUUCUCUGUUAAGUCUGCUUUUAAUGUCCAGCUCGUUGAUAACAAACAGAGAUAUUAUUCAUGUACUGUAGUAACAGGGUCUGGUUCUGAAGUUUCUGCAGUGCUCUACCAAAGUGAAAAUCUCUUCUGCUCUUCAUUGUCCAUGUAUCCUUCCCCUAUUUUGUUUUUCUGACAUCAAUAAGAUCUAAGAAAUAAAAAAUUGUAGAACUUA